rnacentral:rRNA from 1 species
UACGUAGGGUGCAAGCGUUAAUCGGAAUUACUGGGCGUAAAGCGUGCGCAGGCGGUUUUGUAAGUCUGUCGUGAAAGCCCCGGGCUCAAUCUGGGAAUUGCGAUGGAGACUGCAAGGCUUGAAUCUGGCAGAGGGGGGUAGAAUUCCACGUGUAGCAGUGAAAUGCGUAGAGAUGUGGAGGAACACCGAUGGCGAAGGCAGCCUCCUGGGCCAGCACUGACGCUCAUGCACGAAAGCGUGGGGAGCAAACAGG